UGAGUAACCUGCCCUUAACUCCGGGAUAAGCCUGGGAAACUGGGUCUAAUACCGGAUAUGACUCCUCAUCGCAUGGUGGGGGGUGGAAAGCUUUAUUGUGGUUUUGGAUGGACUCGCGGCCUAUCAGCCUGUUGGUGAGGUAAUGGCUCACCAAGGCGACGACGGGUAGCCGGCCUGAGAGGGUGACCGGCCACACUGGGACUGAGACACGGCCCAGACUCCUACGGGGAGGCAG
rnacentral:rRNA from 1 species